rnacentral:rRNA from 1 species
UACGUAGGGGGCGAGCGUUGUCCGGAUUCAUUGGGCGUAAAGAGCUCGUAGGCGGCUUGGCAAGUCGGGUGUGAAAACUCCAGGCUCAACCUGGAGACGCCACUCGAUACUGCCAUGGCUAGAGUCCGGUAGGGGACCACGGAAUUCCUGGUGUAGCGGUGAAAUGCGCAGAUAUCAGGAGGAACACCGGUGGCGAAGGCGGUGGUCUGGGCCGGAACUGACGCUGAGGAGCGAAAGCGUGGGUAGCAAACAGGAUUAGAAACCCUUGUAGUCC